rnacentral:rRNA from 1 species
GACGAACGCUGGCGGCGUGCUUAACACAUGCAAGUCGAACGGAAAGGCCCUGCUUGCAGGGUGCUCGAGUGGCGAACGGGUGAGUAAUACGUGGGUGAUCUGCUCCUUGCUUUGGGAUACGCCUGGGAAACUGGGCCUAAUACUGGAUAGGACCGUGCUGUAGGUGGUGUGGUGGAAGGAUCAGUUUCGGUAAGGGUUGAGCACGCGGCCUUUCAGCUUGUUGGGGGGGUAGUGGCCUACCAAGGCGUCGACGGGUAUGCGGCCUGAGUGGGUGUACGGCAACAUCGAGACUGCGACGCGACGCACACGUCUACGGUAUGCGGCAGUGGGGAAUAUUCUACAACAGCCGUAAGGCGGAUGCAGCGACGCUGCGUGGAGUGUGACGGCCUUCGGGUUGUAAAGAACGGUCGUCCAUUACGAAGUCGCUGUUGUGACGUUAGUGGCAGAAGAAGCACCGGCUAACUACGUG